rnacentral:rRNA from 1 species
GACGGAAGGUGCAAGCGUUGCUCGGAAUCACUGGGCGUAAAGGGUGCGUAGGCGGCUUCUUAAGUCUGGUGUGAAAGCCCAGGGCUCAGCUCUGGAAGUGCACUAGAAACUGGGAAGCUUGAGUACCGGAGGGGAGAGUGGAAUUCCUGGUGUAGCGGUGAAAUGCGUAGAUAUCAGGAGGAAUACCGGUGGCGAAGGCGGUUCUCUGGGCCUUACCUGACGCUGAGGAGCGAAAGCGUGGGGAGCGAACAGG